AAUAAUAAUCUGAGCCUGUCAGCGGCAAAAACAACAUUUCAUGGUUUACCGUUACAUUGCAGCUUGUCUUGCUUAAUACCGUGCCAAUCUCAAAGAUGUUGUUCCCAUCAGUCACUUAGACACUAAACAUUGGAAAAUAUGGUCCAUAUUGAAAAACAAAAACAAACUAACUAACCCUUCGGCUGUAGCGCGGUUACUGUACUUAAUCUGAGCUGGAAGCCGACCAACCUAGAGACAACACGGUGAUCAUAAAAGAAAAGGAGUGCAGAAAGAAAAACACAUCUGGGCUCUACCCUAUUCCCCCCCAAACACUUUAUAACUAAAUGGCAGUUGUUGUUUUUAAACUAGAGCAGCUUCUACUUUAUUUUAAUUAGUGAAUUUAGUCGCAGAUGUGGCACAAACACACACACACACACACACACACACACACUGUGGCUGAGGGGUUUAAGCUCCAAAUAUACAGUUUUUAAACCAAAAUAUUCAAAUGUGAACAACCCUCAGCCAUCUCUCCGUCUCUUUAAAAACACACCGUGGACAUCAGUCAGCAGCUGUUCGGGCUCUUAUUUUGGCGGGUGUCAGUUUUUAGGUACAAGGCAC